rnacentral:lncRNA from 13 species
GUAAAGUAGGAGAUACUUAGUGUUAAGUACGUGUUAAAGUAGGAGAUGCUUAGUGUUAAGAAGAUACCUUGUGUUAAGUACGUGUUAAAGUAGAAGUGACUUAGUGUUAAGUAUGUGUUCAAGUAGAAGAUACCUUGUGUUAAGUACGUGUUAAAGUAGAAGUGACUUAGUGUUAAGUAUGUGUUAAAGUAGUAUAUACUUAGUGUUAAGUACGUGUUAAAGUAGGAGGUACUUAGUGUUAAGUACGUGUAAAAGUAGGAUAUACUUAGUGUUAAGUACGUGUAAAAGUAGGAUAUACUUAGUGUUAAGUACGUGUUAAAGUAGAAGUGACUUAGUGUUAAGUACGUGUUAAAGUAGGAUAUACUUAGUGUUAAGUACGUGUUAAAGUAGUAUCUACUUAGUGUUAAGUAUGUGAUAAAGUAGAAGUGUUGAAAUAAGUGUUGUGUUAACACUCCUCGAUGUGAAAAACAACAUCUGGAAUAUGUGUGACUGAUCGAGACCAACAGACCACGCAACAAGAGAUAUAAGAAGUAUAUAACCAAGUGUAUUCCCCUCUGUUAAUGUACACAUAUUUAGAGUCAUCUCACUGGAACACUUUACAAUAACAUUUAGAAAGAACAGGUAGAUACUGGGAGGAGGAGGACGGAGAGGA